rnacentral:rRNA from 1 species
UACGGAGGAUGCGAGCGUUAUCCGGAUUUAUUGGGUUUAAAGGGUGCGUAGGCGGGCUGUUAAGUCAGCGGUCAAAUGUCGGGGCUCAACCCCGGCCUGCCGUUGAAACUGGCGGCCUCGAGUGGGCGAGAAGUAUGCGGAAUGCGUGGUGUAGCGGUGAAAUGCAUAGAUAUCACGCAGAACUCCGAUUGCGAAGGCAGCAUACCGGCGCCCGACUGACGCUGAGGCACGAAAGCGUGGGGAUCGAACAGG